rnacentral:ncRNA from 2 species
ACCCCAUCCGGGGGGAGCCUUCCAAGAGGCUGAGAGGCAGGGAUGGGCCCUGCGACCCCUUGAACCUGAUCCGGGUCAUGCCGGCGAAGGGAUCGGAGGUACGCAUGAAG